rnacentral:lncRNA from 1 species
CCUAGGCUGGGCUCAGGAAGAACUGUGCUGGGGACCCUUUUCUCAGAGACCCCAAAGAAGCCAUUCAUGAAAGCAGAUCUUAGAGGGACAGUUUAGAGAAGAAGCCAGAAGCACCUGCCAAAAUGUGGGACAUAGUGCAGAGGAAGUUUUAAUUACGAGAGAGAACACAAAAGAGCCAAAGGGGCAGGAGGCAGCCUCAACUCACUGGGGACAUUCGUGCCGGACACUGAUGACAGUGAUGGAGGUGACUAAUGAGACGACAGUGGGGCUUAGCCAGCACACAGCUGGACAUCGAGGCAGGCUCCACCUCCGGUGACAGAUGGGGCUCAGAGGCUGUGAACCACAUCCAGGCCGGGCCAGGCUAGGGUGGGGGUGGGGAGCACUCUCAGAGAGCUUGGCUCUGCUUGAGCUUUUCCUUGCUUGUUCUUGCAAACACUGG